GCAAGUCGAACGCUACUUUCGUUAGAUUGAAGAAGCUUGCUUCUGAUUGAUAACAUUUGAGUGAGUGGCGGACGGGUGAGUAACACGUGGGUAACCUGCCUAAGUGGGGGAUAACAUUUGGAAACAGAUGCUAAUACCGCAUAAAACCUAGCACCGCAUGGUGCAAGGUUGAAAGAUGGUUUCGGCUAUCACUUUAGGAUGGACCCGCGGUGCAUUAGUUAGUUGGUGAGGUAAAGGCUCACCAAGACCGUGAUGCAUAGCCGACCUGAGAGGGUAAUCGGCCACACUGGGACUGAGACACGGCCCAGACUCCUACGGGAGGCAGCAGUAGGGAAUCUUCCACAAUGGACGAAAGUCUGAUGGAGCAACGCCGCGUGAGUGAAGAAGGUUUUCGGAUCGUAAAACUCUGUUGUUGGAGAAGAACGUAUUUGAUAGUAACUGAUCAGGUAGUGACGGUAUCCAACCAGAAAGCCACGGCUAACUACGUG
rnacentral:rRNA from 1 species